GGAUGGAUGAUGACUUCCAAAUAUGCAUUCUGUGGAAAGCUGAACAAAAUGAGUGACAACUCUAUAUCAUCUUCCUCAUUGAACCGAGUUCC